UCCGUAGGGUGACCUGCGGAAGGAUCAAAUUGUCGAAUCCUGCCAAGCAGAAUGACCAGAGAACUUGUGACGAACUCAAUGGGGGCGAUGGGUCUUCUUUUCCCAUCGUCCCUCGACGCCAGGAUCCCACGGGCGCCUGGAGCGCUCGGGGCAUUCUCGGCGGCACAACGGAACCCCGGCGCGGAAUGCGCCAAGGAACUUGAACAAGAGAGCGAUGCUCCCACCACCCCAGACAUGGUGCGUGCGCGGGAUGCCAUGCAAUCUCCCAUUAUUCAUAACGACUCUCGGCAACGGAUAUCUCGGCUCUCGCAUCGAUGAAGAACGCAGCAAG
rnacentral:rRNA from 1 species